rnacentral:rRNA from 1 species
UACGGAGGGUGCAAGCGUUAUCCGGAUUCACUGGGUUUAAAGGGUGCGUAGGCGGACAGGUAAGUCAGUGGUGAAAUCUCUGGGCUUAACCCAGAAACUGCCGUUGAUACUAUUUGUCUUGAAUAUCCUGGAGGUAGGCGGAAUAUGUCAUGUAGCGGUGAAAUGCUUAGAUAUGACAUAGAACACCGAUAGCGAAGGCAGCUUACUACGAUGAUUGACGCUGAGGCACGAAAGCGUGGGGAGCAAACAGG